AGAGUUUGAUCCUGGCUCAGAACGAACGCUGGCGGCAGGCUUAACACAUGCAAGUCGAACGCACCGCAAGGUGAGUGGCGGACGGGUGAGUAACACGUGGGAACGUGCCUUUUGGUUCGGAAUAACUCAGGGAAACCUGAGCUAAUACCGGAUGUCCUUCGGGGGAAAGAUUUAUCGCCAUUAGAGCGGCCCGCGUCUGAUUAGCUAGUUGGUGAGGUAAAGGCUCACCAAGGCGACGAUCAGUAGCUGGUCUGAGAGGAUGAUCAGCCACACUGGGACUGAGACACGGCCCAGACUCCUACGGGAGGCAGCAGUGGGGAAUCUUGCGCAAUGGGCGAAAGCCUGACGCAGCCAUGCCGCGUGAAUGAUGAAGGUCUUAGGAUUGUAAAAUUCUUUCACCGGGGACGAUAAUGACGGUACCCGGAGAAGAAGCCCCGGCUACUUCGUGCCAGCAGCCGCGGUAAUACGAAGGGGGCUAGCGUUGCUCGGAAUUACUGGGCGUAAAGGGAGCGUAGGCGGACAGUUAAGUCAGAGGUGAAAGCCCAGGGCUCAACCUUGGAAUUGCCUUUGAUACUGAUUGUCUUGAGUAUGGGAGAGGUGUGUGGAACUCCGAGUGUAGAGGUGAAAUUCGUAGAUAUUCGGAAGAACACCAGUGGCGAAGGCGACACCUGGCCCAUUACUGACGCUGAGGCUCGAAAGCGUGGGGAGCAAACAGGAUUAGAUACCCUAGUAGUCC
rnacentral:rRNA from 1 species